rnacentral:rRNA from 1 species
CUGGCGGCGUGCCUAACACAUGCAAGUCGAGCGAUGAAGUUCCUUCGGAACGGAUUAGCGGCGGACGGGUGAGUAACACGUGGGUAACCUGCCUUGUAGAGGGGGAGUAGCCUUCCGAAAGGAAGAUUAAUACCGCAUAAUAUUGUAGUAUCGCAUGGUACAACAAUCAAAAGAGCAAUCUGCUACAAGAUGGACCCGCGGCGCAUUAGCUAGUUGGUAAGGUAAUGGCUUACCAAGGCGACGAUGCGUAGCCGACCUGAGAGGGUGAUCGGCCACAUUGGGACUGAGACACGGCCCAGACUCCUACGGGAGGCAGCAGUGGGGAAUAUUGCACAAUGGGGGAAACCCUGAUGCCAGCAACGCCGCGUGAGUGAUGACGGUCUUCGGAUUGUAAAACUCUGUCUUUGGGGACGAUAAUGACGGUACCCAAGGAGGAAGCCACGGCUAACUACGUGCCAGCAGCCGC